rnacentral:tRNA from 1 species
CGCAGCGUAGGGAAGCGGUCAUCCCGCGUGGUUCAUACCCACGAUGUCGCAGGUUCAAAUUCUGCCGCUGCAACCA